rnacentral:rRNA from 1 species
ACGAACGCUGGCGGCGUGCUUCACCCAUGCCAGUCGAACGGAAAGGCCCUGCUUUUGUGGGGUGCUCGAGUGGCGAACGGGUGAGUAACACGUGAGUAACCUGCCCUUGACUUUGGGAUAACUUCAGGAAACUGGGGCUAAUACCGGAUAGGAGCUCCUGCUGCAUGGUGGGGGUUGGAAAGUUUCGGCGGUUGGGGAUGGACUCGCGGCUUAUCAGCUUGUUGGUGGGGUAGUGGCUUACCAAGGCUUUGACGGGUAGCCGGCCUGAGAGGGUGACCGGCGACAUUGGGACUGAGAUACGGCCCAGACUCCUACGGGAGGCAGCAGUGGGGAAUAUUGCACAAUGGGCGGAAGCCUGAUGCAGCAACGCCGCGUGCGGGAUGACGGCCUUCGGGUUGUAAACCGCUUUCGCCUGUGACGAAGCGUGAGUGACGGUAAUGGGUAAAGAAGCACCGGCUAACUACGUG